CCUACGGGGGGCUGCAGUGGGGGAUAUUGCACAAUGGGGGGAACCCUGAUGCAGCGACGCCGCGUGGGUGAAGGAGUGCUUCGGCAUGUAAAGCCCUAUCGGCAGGGAAGAAGCAAGACGGUACCUGACUAAGAAGCCCCGGCUAACUACGUGCCAGCAGCCGCGGUAAUACGUAGGGGGCGAGCGUUAUCCGGAUUCACUGGGUGUAAAGGGAGCGUAGACGGCCAUGCAAGCCAGGGGUGAAAGCCCGGGGCCCAACCCCGGGACUGCCCUUGGAACUGUGUCCCUUGAGUGCGCGAAGGGUAGGCGGAAUGCGUGGUGUAGCGGUGAAAUGCAUAGAUAUCACGCAGAACUCCGAUCGCGAAGGCAGCCUACCGGCGCGCAACUGACGCUCAUGCACGAAAGCGUGGGUAUCGAACAGGAUUAGAUACCCUUGUAGUC
rnacentral:rRNA from 1 species